CAGUAGCCGCGGGAAUACAGAGGGUGCAAGCGUUAAUCGGAAUUACUGGGCGUAAAGCGCGCGUAGGUGGUUUGUUAAGUUGGAUGUGAAAUCCCCGGGCUCAACCUGGAAACUGCAUCCAAAACUGGCAAGCUAGAGUAUGGUAGAGGGUGGUGGAAUUUCCUGUGUAGCGGUGAAAUGCGUAGAUAUAGGAAGGAACACCAGUGGCGAAGGCGACCACCUGGACUGAUACUGACACUGAGGUGCGAAAGCGUGGGGAGCAAACAGGAUUAGAUACCCGAGUAGUCCCUGUCUCUUAUAC
rnacentral:rRNA from 1 species